rnacentral:ncRNA from 1 species
UCCACUGUGAAGUGGAAUCUGCAGGAAGCGAGCAGCAAACUUUUGGUCUGAGUAACACGAACUUCAUAUAAGGCUAAGUAUCAUUGGAUGAGUUUGCAUAACAAAGGUGAUACAGAGUAAAUGAAGCAAAUAGAUGGAAGGGAAGAUUGCACUC